AUUGAACGCUGGCGGCAGGCUUAACACAUGCAAGUCGAGCGGAGAUGAGGUGCUUGCACCUUAUCUUAGCGGCGGACGGGUGAGUAAUGCUUAGGAAUCUGCCUAUUAGUGGGGGACAACAUUCCGAAAGGAAUGCUAAUACCGCAUACGUCCUACGGGAGAAAGCAGGGGAUCUUCGGACCUUGCGCUAAUAGAUGAGCCUAAGUCGGAUUAGCUAGUUGGUGGGGUAAAGGCCUACCAAGGCGACGAUCUGUAGCGGGUCUGAGAGGAUGAUCAGCCACACUGGGACUGAGACACGGCCCAGACUCCGACGGGAGGCAGCAGUGGGGAAUAUUGGACAAUGGGGGGAACCCUGAUCCAGCCAUGCCGCGUGUGUGAAGAAGGCCUUAUGGUUGUAAAGCACUUUAAGCGAGGAGGAGGCUACUGAGACUAAUACUCUUGGAUAGUGGACGUUACUCGCAGAAUAAGCACCGGCUAACUCUGUGCCAGCCGCCGCGGUAACAC
rnacentral:rRNA from 1 species